GGCUAUGGGGGCCUCAGCCAUCAUGAGGCCAGAGAGAAUUCCCCCUCCGAAGCAGUAGAGCAUAGAACUGAACCAGCAGGCAAACGGGCUCCUCCUCGCCACCUCCAGGGCUCCUGUAACCCAGUCACCAGCAGAGGUCCAUGUUGAGGCAGUAAAAGUCCACCUGUCUUCAGACUGAGCCACGACCAGAGUUACAUAUAAACAUAACAGAUGUGGAAUAGUGUCAGGCAACUCAAGUGAGUCUUGAGGCAACCUUGAUGCCAGAAAAAUAACCAGAAAGGAGGACUAUUCCAUUAUUGAUGGGCCUCGCCUCCCAUCCCUGGCAAUGAGUAUCACAAGGAAUAUAAUAAGUCUGUAAAGCUUUGGCAGUACAGUCUGGAUCUGUGGUGUGAUGAGUCUAACCACCCUGAUACAGCACAGGGUGGUGUGUGUGUGUGUGUGUGUGUAAAGAUCACUGGGACAACACAUGUAUUUUGUUUACAAAUAUGUACUUCAAAAGUUAUUUUUAAAUACAUCAAGAAUGCAAAAGUGGUGAGACUUGUGAUUCGUUUUAACUGGGCAAAUAGGUCAACCAUAAGCGGACUAAAGCAUAAAUGUUACUCUUAAAAAUGAGGCAUCUCAAAAUAUCCGUGCAGCAAUAAUCCAUUGCAUAAUUUUAGUAUGCCAUCCAGUUGUGGGGAUUUAGAAAAUGAAAACAUGAUAGUAAACGAUCUCAAUAUCAACGUGGCCAAAUAGGGAGAAUUGUGUGGAACGUUCUCUAAAGUUUCAUGUUCUUUCAAACACGCUAAUUUAGUGGGUAGAGGCUGAAGUCUGUCUCUGGGGUGAGCAAAAAGUGUAGCCUGGCCUAACAUUCAAAAAAUUGCCAUUAAAAUAUGAGAAGUAAAGAACCAAACCAUUCAAUAGGCUGGUAUAUUAGGCUAUAUGAAAAAAAGUUUGAACAAUUGUAAUGAGCUGGACCUGUCCAACACAACCCGUUGUUGAAUGUCCUUUGCUUACCUGGC